ensembl:lncRNA
CAAGUAGAUUGUUGAGACCUGCUUCUUUGCUGGUGGCAAAGGGAAGCUCGCCUCCGACUGUUCCGGCUCGUUUCUGCGACCAGCCUUUGAUCACAUCUAUAGUAAAUGUCGGAGAUCACAUCUAUAGUAAAUGUCGGAGAAGGCAAUGGCACCCCACUCCAGUACUCUUGCCUGGAAAAUCCCAUGGACGGAGGAGCCUGGUGGGCUGCAGUCCAUGGGGUCGCUAACAGUCGAACACGACUGAGCGACUUCACUUUCACUUUUCACUUUCAUGCAUUGGAGAAGGAAAUGGCAACCCACUCCAGUGUUCUUGCCUGGAGAAUCCCAGGGACAGGGGAGCCUGGUGGGCUGCCGUCUAUGGGGUCGCACAGAGUCGGACACGACUGAGGCAACCAGCAGCAGCAGCGGCAUAGUAAAUGGAUAUCAUUACCUUCGAUGACCUGAUCUGAUGAAUCCUUAGAACAGCUCCCCUCGACUCCACAGACACCUGUGAGGAGAGAGAAUACCUCAUCUGUCGGUGUUUUCUUGGCAUCCAGCGCAUAAAUGCCAUUUGGGAAUGCACAGAGGAGAGCGCGGCCAAUCCCUUAACCGCGAGGCACGGCUUCAUUUGCCGUUUCACCAACGGCCAGCAGACGGCGCCCGACUCUCCUUGGGAUCAACCGGCGCCUCAACAGUUGAGGGAAACUCAAGCUCAGGUUCUCCGACAUUCUGAGAUUCCCAGUGUGAAAAGCCAGCUUAGUUUUUCGCUGUUCCCACUGUGUGACACCCCGGGGGCUGAGGAAAUAGUUAAAAGCGAAGCUUACAUGGCCCUUCCAUGGCGCUUAGCAGACAACAAGGAUGUGCUGGUGUCAGAAGCUUCGCUGGGAUGGUGCAGGGGACUUGGCCACCUAAAACCUUGCUCUCUCUCCACCUCAUUUUCCCAAGUGCGGUGGGACUACAAGGGGAACGUCUUCACCACUGACAGCUUGGGGUCCUUUGGACCUGUGAUCAGGCCAUCCAGCCAGUGUGAAGAUGAUGUGGGGCAGGAGUCCCUCCCUGAAGGGAGAGGAAGAGGAGCAGGGCUUUCUGCUGGCCCCCUCCAGCUGCACCCUAGUGUCGGGAACCACCACGGGAGAUCCCACUCAUGACAAGGUCAUGUGGAAGAGAACUGUUAAGCAAGGCUUCAGGACUUAACGGGCUCUCUAGGCUUUUUAAAAUAUCUACCCCAAAACCAGAAUCUGUCUGUUUCAUUAUUUUAUGACUUUUACCAACUUUUCUGACAUUAUCAGGGGGCUAUCCCUGACCACCUUUUUCUGGAGAAAAUCAACCUAGGGCUAUAGCUAACAAGUCUCUUGGACAUGAGAGGAAGAUUUUAAAUCAAACCCCUUUUGUUAGCAUUUUAGCUUGUUUGGCAGGUCUAUCUAGACUCUUGUAGCUACGCAUGUGAUUAUUUGUAGCCUCUCAACUGUGAGAGGCACGGAAAGCCUAAAACAUAGAGCCUUUUAAAGAGUUAAAAGUUAUUAGAGUCGUGUUGGUGUAGGAUUUUAUUAUUGGGCCACUGUUUGUUGUUAAGUUCCCAUAUCUCUUAUCCACUGUGUACCUGGGAGUGUAUUAGUUAACAUAGUUGGAAUGUAAGAAAAACAAGUGUAGUCUUAAAAUUAACCACAUCAGACUUUUGAGCUAAUCGGUUUUUUUUUUUUUUUUAAUAACUCACUGCACCUUUGCUCGGUGAGAAAUGUAACUCUGUUUAACAUUUUCUGAGGCUGACAUAGAUUAAAAAUACAGAGAAAAAACAUUUCAAGGGAAAAUAAGUUUUCUGGUUGAGCAGCCUUUAUCAAAAGAGGGUCAUAAAAUGUCCACAGGCCUCCAAGGCCAGAAGAUAAUGUACACAACAUUGUCUAUGGGAAAGGUUUGCAGAAAAAAUCCUGGUUUUGAUAAAGACAAAACAGAUGUAAUGUUUGGGCUGACUCUGUAUGACUUUACAUCUUUCAUUUCCCUCUAUGUAAAAGUAAAGGUAUAAAAGACCCUUUUGAAAAUAAAAACAAUGGGCCUCGCUCGAAGAAGCUUGGUCACCCCACGUUAAUCAUUCUCUCUCUCUCUCUCCCUCUCCCUCUCCCUCCCUCUUCUUUUCAGGCUAAUCCCUUGGAACAUGGAGGCUCCCAGCGUUCACUUUUCUGCCUGGGUUUCUAAGACCUGAAUGGGAAGACGUUCUGCGUCUUCACUCCCUCAGGAGAUCAGGAGGACACCUGUGGCCUCCGUAAAUAGAACAAUCUUCUUGUCUCAGAGUUUUAUUGGUUUUCUGUGUAAACCAAAAAAUAUCAGCCUCUUUCUCUCCUCUAUUUUCUUAUCUACAAUAUUCUUUCCUUAUCUCUAAACCAUCCGCUGACGCCGUUUUCCCUUCAG